AAGCCAUUUCUAGACGGGGGAAACGAGAGUUGCGCUACUUUUUAAUCCGUUGCAUCUGCCUAAAUGCACUUCCUUAAGGAAAAAUACUUUACAAAAGUCGAUGCAUCAGACUGUCAUCUUUACUUCGGUCUGAUUAUUUUUGUGACUAUUGCGGCGGAUUAGCAGACAUACGGGCUUGAAAGUACAGAGACAAGAAAGGGGUUACACCGAAUACGCAAGAUGAGAAGAGGGAUCUCCUCGGCUCCGGACAAAGUGAUUUUAGCGGGGGUUGGGGGCUCUCCUCUGGACAAUAAUAUCAUUUUAACAACUCUCACGGAUCGUUUAAACCCCGGUCAAGCCAACGCUACGUAUAUCCAAAUAAUAACCACCCCACCGCCUUGCAACCUUACACAGACAUCAAAUGUGUGUUUGUCUGAACCUCAGAUAAACAACAUUUACACAACUCCACAACAAGCUGCAGCAAACGGAGCCGGACAACGACCCACUCUGGGGAGACCGCCGGCAAAAAGGAGGUUGGCGCUCGAUGACUCGGACCACCAGUACCAGUCAGAACCAACCAGGACUCCAAGAGGCAGAGGAGCGACCGCGGUGGCCAAUGGGGCACGGCUAAAGACCCCCAGAACACCCAAGUCUCCCCCAGAGAAGACUCGGUACGACACCUCCCUCGGCUUGUUGACAAAGAAGUUUGUGGACCUUCUUGCUCAGUCUUCCGAUGGUGUCUUGGACCUGAACCUCGCCGCUGAAACCUUACAGGUACAGAAGAGGCGGCUGUAUGAUAUCACCAAUGUGCUAGAAGGCAUUCACCUCAUCAAGAAGAAAUCAAAGAACAACAUUCAGUGGAUGGGCUGUAGUCUGUUGGAGGUAGAGGGGGCCCUGAACCAGAGACAGAGACUAACAGCAGAAGUUUCUGCACUGGGGGAAGAAGAGCAGAGGCUUGAACAACUCAUCCAGAGAUGCAGCUUGGACAUGAGACACGUGAGCGAGUUGCAAAGCAAUCAGAAAUAUGCCUAUGUAACGUACCAAGACAUCAAACAGUUCGGAAACCUCAGAGACCAGACUGUUAUUGUCGUCAAAGCGCCCACAGACACCAAACUAGAAGUACCAGACCCUGAUGAGAGUUUGUCCAUCCAUCUGACCAGCACUAAGGGUCCUAUAGAAGUCCUGCUGUGUCCAGAUGAGGAGAAUGACCCCAGGAGUCCUGUAAAAGACGGCAGCAUGGACAUCAAUGGGAACUCACCUUUCCUCAAAGUCCUUCAAGGUCCCACUUGCUCGUCCACUUCUGCCAUCCCCGCCCUGGCUCCACCUUCUUCUUCCUCAGCCGUCUCCGUCACCACUCUCUCCCCGAUCUCGUCCCCUUACACUAGUCUUCUCCAGCAGACGGAAGACCAGAUCCCUUCAGCCCUGGGGCCUUUCUUAAACCUUGGGCCUCCUCUACUGGACCAAGAUGACUACCUUUUAGGUUUGGCAGACGACCAGGGAAUCAGCGACUUGUUUGACGCCUGUGACUUUGAUAAAAUGCCCUCUCUUGGCCUGGAUGACCUCCUGUGCAGCUAGCAUUCGGUAAUAGAAAUUCACAUUAAGUGCACGGGAGAGAGAGAGAAUGGAGACUCAGUGAGGGUUUUGAUGCCUGUGACUGACUGUAGUUAGUGGAAACCAAUUCUAAAUAGAUGGAAAGGAAUCGCUGAGAGCUAAAUGCCAUGUUCUUUAACGGUGUGAGAGAUAAAUGGCUUUGCAAGAUUUCACUCAAAAGACACGACUUGUCAGUGUAGAGACCUAUCCAUUACGAUUUGUCUCAGGCGGUGUAAGGCCUCCAGUGUAGCCGGACGUUGAGGGGACAUCCUAAAGCUUGUUUUGUUCAGUAUGAAUUUGGAGGGGGAGGAUAUCCAUUUCUGUGUAUGAGGCGAGGUUCACGUCACUGUACGGAGAGAACAACAAAGAUAGAACAGCUCAGAGGAAAACGCCCCCCCUACACCACCUGACAUCAAUACACAUCGUGGGUGAGCAGAAAAGCCAAGUGUGAUUGCACCUGGGAUGCACAGAUAUGAUCACCAGAAACCAUCAGCAGAAUGCUCAAGAGUAGGGAAGAGGAAAACUGUUCAUUAAUCUGGAAGGAUCCUGCAAAUAUUUAACACACACACAAGAACAGCUAAAUUCUUAAUGUAAACAUUAAAGGCAGCGUUGAUAAUCUUUUAAAAGCGUUUUUGAUAUUUUUGUUUAAAUUUUCAUUACGUCCUGACGGCAAUCAUUGAAUCAAAAUGCUUUGACAGAAAAGAAAAAGAUCCGGCAUCAGUCGCUGUCGCAGGACUGUAACAAGCACGUCCGAUCAUUUAAUUCGGCCCUGAAUGUAGUGACUGGUUGUUACACAACAAGCUGCGAGCUUCAAAGCUCAGCAACUUGUAGCUAGCUGCUCUACUUUAGUUGAAAGAGAGUUGGCAACACUGGGCUGGGUUUUUAGGUUCGAUCACUUUCUUAAAUCUUGCGUACUCUUGCUAGUUUCUUAAGAUUGCCAACCCUGCCUUUUAAUAUUUUUAAUGAUACAUUUGAUCUUUCGAAAUCUCUUUCAUAUCAAAGCUACACAUUGGUAUUGUAACUGAAAUAAUCCCGAACCGGAUCCAUAUGGAAUCAAAUUUUGACCGUGUGAAUCGGAAUCCAAUCAAUUUGGGAAACUAGUGGCGAUACCCAGCCCUCAUAAAUAUGUGCUACUCAGAUCCACAUGGUCUUUUCGUUGCCAUGUGAUGCAUUUACUCAUCCAGAUGUGUUAAUGCCGAGUGCUGUGGGGGCUAAUGAAUGCAUUGUUAAACACCAAUUAUCUGUGAUAUGAGGCUCAUACUGCUGACCGGUUAGUGGCAUUUUGUGUGUUCUUAUGUAGGAAAUUUUAGGAAUUUAAAUUGAAUAUAAAGAAAAUAAAUGCAGUUUUGAUACACAGCAUUCACAACCGCAGCAGUUCUUAUCCUAUGAUUCGGUUGUCUCUGUGCCUGCUCAGACACUUGUCAGGUUACCUAUUGUGGCAUAGGGGCCUAUAAUCAUAAAGUUACUAAAAAAUAUGAGUAUUUUGUACAUUUAAGCACGAUUUAGAUGUAUUGAGAGCCGCAAGGAAGUUCAUAUACGUUUUUUUGAGUGCACAUGACAUCAUUACCCAAUUUAAAAGGAAACCGUAAUGGCAAUGCAGAUAAAAGGAGACGGGUGUACACCAGUUUUAAAUGUAUAAAAUACUUACAAUAUGCCUCAUGGCUAAUAAUCAGUUUGAUCCCCUUGCACACGACGUGUCUCUCUUGUGCUCUAUCCUCCAUAGUUAACAGGAUUUAGUAGGUAAUAAGGGAUCUUUAUCUGUCCACCUGAUCAACCUGUUCUCUACUGGUCGUGUGGGCAACCUCAUAUUUUGUAAUUAAAUUUACAGUUUGAUGAAUACAAAAAUGUUGUAUUCAACAGAUCUUGUGAUGUUUAACUUUACAUGACCCUUGUGCUAACGGCAUAAAAAAAACAAAAGCCAUCAUACCUGGGCAGUGCGGGGUUAAGCACCUGAUGUACUUGUAUAAGCCUGGCACGUUGGCACACAUGAUAUGCAAGCUCAGAUAUCAUCGCCAACGCGUACUCUUAUUGAUACUUUGUGAAAUCAGGACCCAAACUUCCACUUUCUUGCUGCUUUUCACCUAACCCUUCACCGUCAUCUUCAUCAGCAGAAGCUGCCAUAACCAAACUUACCCUAAUGCCUCCUCACGUGGACUAUGUGCUGUGAAAUUAUACUGUGGUUUGAGUGGUAAAAUUGGACCUUGAACAACUUAUCACUGCGCGCUGUCUACUGUGUGUCUACUGAAAGCAGUGUAGGAGAGAGGAUCGGCGUGUUUGUCUUUUUAGGUUUAAUAAGUGUUGACUUUUUUAACAGAUUUUAAUACUGUAGAAAUAACUAAUGAUAUCCAGGUCAUCUAAGCAACAAGUGGCCAGGGGCCACUGAUUUAGGAUUCAGCAUGUAAUGAAGGGCCCAUAACCACGAUAUUUACAAAAAAAAACGAGGAAAAGGAAAAAAGGAAAAAAAAAAAAAAAAGGCUAAUAGACCCUGUUUUGUAAACUGAGCGAAUACAGUGCAACAAGCCACGUUUCAUGGUCGGCUUGGUAAUACUGUUGUGUUGGGCCACUGAGUCUUCACCAGUGGUUGAUCAAGAAAAGCCAGCUGGAGGGAUGUGUUUUUGUUGUGGUAUUUGGAACACCAUUGCAGUUCACUUCUGAUAGCUUCUGUUGUUUGAUGACAUCCCUUAUAAUAACGUAACGCAAACAUCUUGUCGGAAACCCUGGCUUUCAAUCUAGAGAAACCUGCGGCCGCGGGUAAUAUUGCUGCUGUUAGUGUAAACUUCCCUUGCCCUGAUUCACGUGUGCUUGAGUAAUUGUGUGUGCAGCAUGUGUGAGUAAUGUGAAAGAUUAGCCUGCCAUGUGUAAAUUGAUGUACAGUUUUCUAAAUUUUUCAGUGCACAAGGUACUGUAGGCUACCUCUCACUUAAUGUCUGACUAUAGUAAUAGGGCAUAGAGGUGAAUGCCAUAGUGUGUAUGAGUCUUUGAAUCCCCCUUUUUCAUAGAAAUUCCCCUUGUAUUAUUUAGAUGUGAUGUUGGAUAUUACAUCGCACUUUUCUCUUUCGCUACAUGCGAGAUGUCACUCACAUCCUGAUUUAAGAGUAUGCCUUCGCUCUUAAACCGUUCUCAUGGUGUUGCAUCCUAACUUUGAAUAUUCGGGUGCACAUUUAAUCGGUAGAAAAGCAGAAAACGUGCGAUAUGUUUUUGUUUUUUUUGGUUUUGUUUUCAAUCUUUUCCCCCCAUAAGUUAUUUACGUCUUGUUUUCAUCUCUUUGACACAACAUGUAGUACACAUUCAAUGAUGAAUACAUGCACUCAAUCUUUUGCAGUUGGCCUCUCUGCGGCCUACUGGCCAUUAGGAGACAUUGCCAUGGCUAUAUACACCACUGAACCAUUAUCAGUGACUUGUGUCCUCUGCUGAAGUGUGUGUGUGUGUGUGUGUGUGUGUGUGUGUGUGUGUGUGUGUGUGUGUGUGUGUGUGUGUGUGUGUGUGUGUGUGUGUGUGUGUGUGUGUGCGCCAGGGACGCAUGUAAUUUGAGGAGACAUUGCCAAUUGAACAAGGUGGUCUACUAAGCUGAUCAUGUGUUGGGCGUGCACAAUAUGUUUCCUCCAGAUUAAUUUGCUACAUCUAGCCUUUCCCCUCUGUUUUUCAUGAACAAGCUAGAUCUGCACACUUUGUGUGUGCGUGUUUAUCUACCUUUCCUCCUCUUUCCAAUAAGUUUUUUCUACAUUUUCUCUAAAUACUUUUAAGUAUUGUCUCCCUCUCUUGUCUCUCAUGGUGAAUCUUUCUGAUUUCUUUCCACCUGGUUUUUACUUCGGUCCGUCUCAAAGUUGUCAGCUCUUCUUCUUCUUUCUCUUUGGUAUCUUCUUCUUCAUCCUUGUCUUUUUUGACUCAUGGUCAAACUUUCUCUCUUUUUAUUUGACUUUCCUCCUCCCCGCCAUCAGAUUGUGUCUCUCACACUCACAGUGUUUGUCUUUCUUCCUCUUCCUUCAUCUCCACACUGAUCCUCUAAUCAGCAGCCAACAGUGUCUCGGGUUUACUUUUGAAAUGACAUGCCAUCCCUCCCAUUCUCCUCGUCGUGCCCUCUUGUCUGAUCUACGGUAAUGUCUUGUACAUCUUUUCUCCCGUCUUACUUUCCUCUCUUCUAGCGUCUCUACCUUCUCUUCUGUGUGUGAUAGUUGUCUAGGGAUGGCAACACGAGCUGUCUCCAAACCCGCAACAUCAUAACGACAUGUUAUGUGUCGCUGCUGAACCCCCCCCCUCCUCAGGUUCAGAAAAAUAAAAGCUCUCUGCGUCUGGGCUAUUUGCAUACUAUUUGCAUAUGAACCCCCAACUGGCUGUUUUUGGAAUGCCAAGAGGCUAAAUUCAGUAUUUAUUACCCGGGCCCAUAACUAGUUCUCUCUUUUCUGUGGCAUUUGCAUCUGAUUUGCAUGUCCCACAGCUUGGAUCUGGGAAUAAGGGGCCAGAUGACCUAAAUAGUUUCAAUUCCACCUAGAAAUAAAAAAAGCAGAGAGGGGACUAAUUAUUACCAUUAAUCGAAUUAGGACGCUUUACAUGUGGAGCGUAAAUAUGCGAAAGUGUUAUGAGCUACAAUACCAAGCUGAGGCCACUUGCUCUCACUGCAAACUGCUUUUGCAUGGAGACAAUAAAUGAUGUUUGUGUUUGUGGUCACGUUUCUUUGAGCAGUUGGCUAGAUUUCCCUCAUUGCAUCAUCCCUUCCUAUCCCAAUGGUAUUGAUCAAAAGGCCCCUUUUUGUUUUGUAGGUUCUCUAUUUUCAAGGCAAACAACUGUUCUAUAUUGAGGUCCUCAAAGAGAUCCAUUUAAACUUCACAGACCUAUUUAAUCAUAGAAGCUAAUCAGCGUUACAUUUGGCUAUCAGCGGUUCAUAAGGAAUUGGAUAGACUGAAUGUGGAUAACAGACCUUUUGCACACUACACCGAUCUUAUCAGCACAUGCAGUACAUGUGAGAGUUACAUACUCAUCAUCCUGUCAGACACAGAGGUUGGUGCUCACCACUGGGCUUUGUUUCCUCCAGUUGAUAAAUAAACUGCCCACAGUGAAGGGGACAUGAAUGAAGCUUAAACCCCUUUCAGAGAAGCCCCCCUUUACAUUGAUCCGACUGCAGUUUAACACACCGGUCUCAUGCCUGUGUAAGCAGCCCGGUCACAUUAACGUAAAAGACACAACGGCAAUCUUACUUGGUCGAACCUAGUAAUGUUUCCGCAUCGCUUUCAAUGCGGCACCAGUCUGAAUGCAGCUUGAGUGCUGUAAAGGCUGCAGCGGCACAAAGUCAAACAUUCAAAGAGAGAGGUUACAUGUGUUAUGUCAAUCCUUGUCUCUUAUGCAGACAGUCAGUUAGAUAAACCAGGAAAUUGAUCUUCACAUAUCAGAUCUGUCUACAAAAAAAUAUUUCUGCGACCAGAGCAUAGGAGACUUAAAAAAAGUCCCCUCUUACAAUAAUAGUCUGGAAAUACAAAGAAAGACUGUUGCUCAAUGUUCAUUCCUGCCAAUUGUGUGGAUGAAUAAGUGCAUAUCCAGCAAAAACAGUAUAAUCUAUAGGUUUUUGGAUCAUUUUGAUUAAAUUGUCUGUUUUUAGAGGGACACAUAUAUGUGAUAGUUUCAGUUGCUGACCAAGGACUGAUUUCUACAUUUUGCAUGGCAAGCAUCAUAUUUGACCAUGAUCAUGAUCAUUUGAUUGCAUACGUUAAUAUGUGAAUAUGCUCUGAAAUUUUAGGAGAGGCCCUCAAAAACCUUACAGCCCUGAGACCAACUGUCUUUGUCAAGUGUUUGUAUUAAUCCCUUCAUAGUGUAGCUCUGAACUGAGACCUAAACUGUAGGCCAUGUGUGGGACUAACUAGCCGAUUUUCUUGUGUUAUCCUAUUAUAUCUGUGAAACGUGAGAACCUUUUGUAAAGGCUAGUUCAGUGAGUAGCAUAGCCAAAAACAACAACAACCGAUAGUGCUGCACUGGUAUUGUCUCUUUAAUGACUACAGACCACGGCUCUGCUUGGCUACCACCUCCACCUUUAUGAAGGUGAAGCUCCAUCUGCCAUCACUUUCCUUCCAUUUGUUAUUUUCUUUCCCAGGACAGGUGAGCUUUUACAUACAGGUGGCUCUUUACCUUUCUGUUUCACUUUUCUUUGUCUCUCUUCGAGGUGACAGGUGGGGGAAAUGUACACACACACACACACACACACACUCACACACGCUCUUCUGGAUUCCUCUGUCUUCUACAUUCUUUUGUGUACACAGCAAAUUGACGCAUGUUCUUCCCUUGGCCUGCUCUAUUCACCUCAUUGAAUAUAAACUGCCAUCUCCUCGGGCAAACAGCAAAUAUAAUCACAUUUGUAAUGUCAGAGAAAUAGUGUGUCAAUAUUUGCCUGGUCUGUUACUGUUGUGAAAUGGGGAACUGACUGUGGUUACCAUGGUGUGCAUGAGUUUGACAGUUGGCUUUGAGGUACAGAAAGAUGCACUCUGUCUCUCACACACACACACACACACACACACACACACACACACACACACGCACACCAACACACACACCUUUCCAGGGUGAGAAAGAGGUUUCUUUCAUUUUAUUAUUUCCAUUAUGAUAGGUUACAAAAGAAGACCAAUUUUCACUCCGCCCCUGUGGUCCAAGAGUCCACAUUAUUUUAUUUUUUUAACAUGCAAAAAUGUCACCGUGAAAACACGUUUUACGUAAUUGAGUUUUUUUUGUUUGAGUAGGUUAUAAAGCAUUUUCUCUUCUUUAAAAGUUGACAUGUGAAACUACAAAAACAAUCCUGCUAAUACUUCAUGCAGUUGCACAAUUAAUAAAUACAGCAAACACUACGAGCAUGUUUUGUCUUUAAAAAAUGUCUGAAAGCUUGUUAAACACCGGAAUAUCGGAAUAUCGUGGGAAACACCGAAAGUUUCAAACCAGUUACUGUUAAGUGUGGAAUAUUUAUAUAAAAAUUACAUUUAGAGAAAGAUACGUGAUUGUACUGAAUUAUAAAUCAAUCUAUUAGUAGACGGUUACAAUUUAUAAUGCCGUAGCAAAUAAAAAUGUCAGUUUUGACGCCAGUCGGACACAAAACUGACGUGAUUGUCAUCAUCAAAACUUACACCGUUUCUGAAGAGAAGCAUCGGGUGCAUUUGAUUAUUUUCUUUGUAUUUAUCAUCUUCUGAUGCCAUGUUUUCAUCUGAGCUCCACUUACAUUGUUCUAGACAGCCAUCGUCUGCUUGCCCCCUGCCACAGAAUAAAUAUUCUGCUUUUGGUGCAGAGGAGCUAAACUGAAUGAUGUAUUCAAAGUGGGUCUGUGACUGUGGCUGUCGCUUUUAGUUUGUCAGUUCUGACUUUCCUCUAUCUCCAACCAGACUAAAUACUAACUUCAUAUGUGGACGGUCAAAUCAUGUUUAAUAAUGAGAAGGCAAUUACACUGGCCUCCAUCCAGAAGGUGAAAGAGUCUGCCGUCUUUCACUGCGAGGUGUGUGGUAAAAGUGAAAUCAUCGGUAUAUUACUCUGUCAGUCAGUAACCUUCGAGGCCCUUCUUUCUCCCAGACACACUGACUUUUGUGCCCUUGACUCUAAUAAUCCCUCUCUGGCUGUGUGAAAUAUCUUUUCAUGCCUGCACUGAUGAUCAUAAUGGUUUUCUGUCUGAGCUGCAGACUAGUGAUUGGCCCCAAUUACUGCGUGAACCUGAGGCUUCAAAUCAUCCUAUCUAUGCAAGGUGAGCAGCGUAAUGGCAAAAAUCUAUUUAGGCCCCCUUUCCAUCCCCUGCCUGUAUGCACAUCGAUAAAUCACACUUAAUGCACAUUUAAAAUCACAGGGAAUCCACUGCCAGAUGUUUAUCAUUACUUUCCUCUGUUGAAAUGUUUUUUCCCAUAUACAACCCGUACAUGCCCUACAAAGCCCUCCCAUCGUCUUUAGCUUCAGCGGUUGCUUUGAAACUCGAUAGCUCGAAGUGUAUUUAUUUAUCCACUCUGACACCUCGCACAUUUCCAACCCUUUUAAUUACAGAAGUGGCUCUGUUCUCUGGUUUGAACGCUAUGCUGACAAUUUCUAGUAGAUUAGACACUGGUCCAAUGGAAAAAUGUGCCUUUAUGUUGCUCAGUCUGUACAUGUAUGCAAUAAGCUGUUUGUAUUACCAGUUCAGUAGUUUUACUUCACUACUUUUAGUCUCAGAGAGGGGGCCCUUGUCUGGACCCAGGUGCUCCUACAGUGUGUCUGUGAUCAGAUGUAAGAGAGACAGAUAGACUCCAGCAUCUCGCCCUGUAGAAGCAGACCUCUGCCAUCCAAAUUAGCGGCUGGCUUGUCUCGCAGCAUUCAUCAUUCCUGCUCCAGUUUCAGCUGAGCUCGCCUAUUUGUCACCGAGAUACCACCACUUACUCUUCUAAUAUUAGGUCUCUCUGCUUUGCGCACCCUUAUUGUUUUGUUCUUUUUCGGUCCGUUCUGCAUGUUUAUCAUUUUCUCCCAUGCUCCUCCUUUCCUUUUGUUUCCUCAAACUCAGCCUAUGCCUCCAAAUGUGUACCUCCUUUUCUUCAUCUCUUCUGUCUUGUGAGUCUUUUGAGUCUUUUUUUGCAUCUCUACUACUACAUGUUUGUUUAUACACCGUUCACACAGUCAUUAUAUUACUUGUCCACCGUUGUUUGUAUAGAAAUAAUACAUUUUAAUUCAUAGUUAUGUAUCAAAUUAAUAAAAAUGUGAUUUUAAUUGUAUUUACAGUAUUAACAUAUCAUCCAACGUUAAAGAUCAAAGUAGGAGCUCUACCGAUACAGAGCUUUGUCACAAGUUUAUUAACCGGUGGCACCCCUACCCGCUACUGUUCCAACUCCAUCUUUCUUAACUUCUUUUUCUUGAUCCCCUCCCUCCCUCUCAGCCCUCCAUCCAUCUCCUUUUUGUCUCUCUCUCUCUGUCGUGCAGACUCUUCCUCAAUAAUGGCCUCAGAGUUGUUUAGGACAGGAGUGAAAUCCCAACAGAAUAGAUGUUUCUAAGAUGUUGUCAAACUGUUGGCGUGAGUGCUAUGGUGGGCCCCUGCUGUGCCUAACUUGGCAUACCCUCACUGCUUCUUAGUACACACCAACAAACAGCAAUGCUCUCUCACACGCACGCACGC